UCUUCCUCACAUUCGAGAAUACUAGUGAUAUAAAAAUAAUUAGAAGAAAACUGUUAUUGAAAGAAAAGAUUAUCUAUCAAAAAACCAUUACUAUUUUCUGAAAAAAACACUCACAUUUCUUACGACAGCUACAUUACGUUAUCUCAAAUGUUUCAUAUUUCGCGACCAUCAGUUGCAUAUUUCAUUCCUGAAGUGAAUAUAAUAUUUUGAAAUCAAUAUCAGUUGUUGUUUGUCUACCCUGGAAAGAGUUUAAAGCUAAAGCGUUCACUUGCUGGCGGAUUACAAGAACAGAUCUGAACACAACCCGGAGUUAAUUACAAAAAUUGAUUGCAAAAUGCAUGAAGAAAAUAAAAAAUUGUGUGAAAACUACCACGUCUGAACGUACCUUUGAAGCGCCAUCUGCAGUUGUGAUACCGCAACCGUGAACGAAUGCUCAAAUAUCGUAAUAGCAAAUACAUCCACCAUCAAUGAAAUACGAGCUAAGUGAGAUUGUGGAAGGUGAAACAUAGUUUUUUAGUUGGGCGACAUCUGCUGCUAAGGUGCGAAACAAACGGGUAAAGAACUUGUAACAACGAAAAGGUGUAGUCAAAAUUAUUAAUAAAAUUAAAAUUAAUUAUAAAAAUUGUUAAGCGUAAUUAAAUAAAUUGAGUGAUUUAUAUACCACGUAAAUUAAUGUAAAUAAAUACACAAUAUAACAUAAGAGUGAUGUAAAAAUGUAGGUUAAACGAUGUAUUCAUAUAUAUAUCCAUCAAAGGUGUAAAGAUUUUUAUUUGAGUUUCAACUUCGGAUACAAGAAGCAAACUCCGGUGUAGUUGUUUGAAAUGUGUGUAUUUUGUUUUUGUGGAAAAAAGUUUAGAGGGCGAGAAUUUCGUUUUUGUAAAUUAUAUAGAGAAACAAAUUUUAUUUUUUUUAUCUUCUAAAAUCUUCGUACACAAUAAAAGAAUCUCCAAUUUUAUAUAGGCCGGGGCAUUGUUUUCGUCAAUACACAUAUACUUUUUUUACUACACCAAAUAUAUUUAAGAUGGUAUUAUGGAACCGACUUGAUUUUGUUUUUUUCGAAGAUUAGCAAAACCGAUUUUCGAAUCAGCUGGAAAAAAAACUUGUGCAAAAAACUCAGAAAUUUAAUUUAAAUUUGUAUGGGCUUUAACAAAUUUUUGAUUUUAAUUAAAUAUAAAUUACCUUCCGCCAUGAUGAUAGAAGGAUUAGGAGAAGCCAGUAAGAAAAUAAGCUCUGAAUUUUAAGGGAUGAAAGCAAUGCGUUGGAGCCGCCAGAGUCGAUAUGUGAAAUUUGCAUUCUAAAUACUUCAACUUUCAACUGAUUAACUGAUCAACUGAUUGAUUCAGACUCUAAAACUGUGAUACAUCGAUUUCGACGCGUGUUGACAUGCUUACGCCGGCCAUCGAAAUAUACAAGCCACCGCUCUGACAUAAGGAUGACACUGUGGAGAGCAAUUUGGGUUAUCCAUCGACGAGUAGCGACAUAUAGCAUAGACUUAUCACGACAGCGGAGAUCACCGCUACUUCAGCUACGGAUAAUCUCUUUGCGCUUCCAUCAUAGUGUCAAUCAACUAAUCAGUCGACUAUUAAGAAAAAAUAUUAACAAAAACAACCAAAUCAUCCCGAAAAUUUCAAAUUCACUUGCAUUAAGAGAAAUACAAAUGUAAUAACAUACAUAAGUGUUAAAAAGGGCAGUAAAGGAAUUUACGUAUACGUCUGUACGUAUGUUAUACAUAUAAUAUUAUAUAAUCCAUACGAGUAUAUGUUUGAAUUGGAAUGUGGUUCAAAUGAAAUUUAUGUUGGGAAAGUGAUUGAGAUGAAACAAAUGGAGAAUUAUUCAUGUGAUGCGAGGCGAAUAGUUUGAUAAAAGUAAUAGUUAAUGCAGUUCAAGCCAUAGAAACAAAUAUAUAGAUACACACAUGCAUACAUGCAUGCCCAUAUGUACACAUACACAUUCAUAUAUAAUAUAUUGACUCAGAACAAACACACCUACAUACUUAGUAUCGAAAAAUGAUUGAACCAACUGAAUAAUUCCUAAGAUUGAUUAUAUUUAGCUAAUUAGCAUAAAGCAUAAGGAUUUUUAUGAUAAAAAUAGGCGUCAAAACAAAAAUAAAUUUAUAGCUAAGAAAACUAAAUGGUAUUUAGUGUACCAGAAUAAAGAGUAAAUGGUGGAAAUCAAAUACCUAACUUAGAUGUUAUAAACAAAUUGUUAUUUUCAUACGAUUAUUAUGAAAAUUAAUUUCAUUUCAAUUAUUAUAUAAACAAAAUGAAUUUGAUAAAAACUCAUACUAACACUUAAGUUCAUAUAUACAUACAUAUGUACGUGUAUUUAGAUAUGUAUGUACAUAUAUGCAUAUAUUUAGUUUAGAUAAAACGAUGAUAAAAAAAUGUCCCAUGGAAAUGGAGAAAGUUAUACUAGUAAUAGAACAAAUUAAUUAUACUACA